UCCAGCCUAGGAUGAUGGAGACCUUUCCUGACAGGGAGGCAUAUGAAUCAGCGGAACGCCCUGCCCCCAGCAGGUGUAGGUGCUCCACCCCUGGAGAUGUUUAAGUUGAGACGGGGCAGUCGUUUGUCUGAAACGGGGGAAGCCAUUUAUGAUCAAAUUAGAAGAACUGGGAAGAGCUCAACAAAACCAAAAUCCUUAGCGCCUUUCCUUUGGAGCCUAUGGAAGUGUGCAAAGGUGCCAUCUGGUGGAUAAACUGAUGAAUAGAGUGGGAAAUUAUUAAAAUAAAAAGAAUCAAGGAAGACAACUGCGGAAGAUAUGUGCUGAUCAGAAUCUGUAGGGCUGCUACUUCUACUUCUGGAUUCCUGGAGAAAGAGGGUCACAUUUAAGUCCCACAAUGCUUGAAGUGGGGGGGAGAUAGGAAUGACAACAGGAGCAUCACCGUGUGCUUCCCAAGGAAACUCUCUAGCUGUGCUCUGCACUUUUCGUGGCUUAAUAUUUCCUUUGGAAUAUCAGGCUUUUGAUUCAUUUGUUAAACUAAACAAUAGAAUUCCAGAGUUCUUUGCAAUGAGAAGCCUAUGGAUACUACUGCAGCACAUCCCACCAGUGGGACAAUUGACUCACUCUUGGAAUACACUGCAUGUGUCCAUCUGGCCUUUCCUGGCACAAUUUUGUUUCCUCAGAAAUCGCCUUUCUGCCUGGUUGCUUUUGUGACGAAGACGUUAGGCAGCCUUGGUUUCAUUGCUUUGUUGACUACACUAUGUUUCAAGUUACAAUGCUUGCCAUUUUACUCAAAGGCUGCUGCUAGGAGACAGUUCAUGCUGAGUAGGAAUCAAGCAGCCAGUUUUCUCUGGGCAGCAAGUGUCCUGUUAAUCCGAUUAGAAAAAAAUCAUGGAACUGAAUAGAUUGGAUUCUCUAAAACCGAGUCGUGAAACUUACUGGAAAGAGAGCAAAAGUGCCACGAGAAGGCCAAGUGGGGAGGUGCAGCCAUAGUUUCUCUCAUAGGUUAGCGACAAUGAAAUAAAUUCUCUCUCUUUUUCUUUCCCUCUGGGGUUUAGAAACAAAAGGAGUAAUAUUUCCAACCUCUGCUUAUUCAAAGGCAAAAAGCUAGGCGAAACAACUGAAGAAAAACACAAAGAACCGGAGUCUGCAAUUGCUUGUCACAUGCCUAGUGUUACAAUUGAUACUAUGGAAAAGUAUCAAAUAUGUGCCAAAAUGUUGUAGAUUAAAUGAUCUUUUCCAAUUGGU